UUUUUGAAGCAGAUAAACUCACCUCAUAUUUCCCAACCAAACAACUGUCUCCCAAAGUGUUCCUGCUUCGCCGUCCCGCCUCCGCAGCUCUGCAGUAAUGACGGUCUAAUGGAAUUUUACGGAGAUCCACUCUGCCAUCAAGCUCUGGUUACUUCUGCUGAUUUCAUCAAGGUCACACAUUUCCCAAACAGGCUCAUCAACAUGAGCGCACGGCUUGACUGAUCUAUCUACUGAUCAGCAAAGAGCAAAAAACAGAGGUAUAGCGGCGCUGGAGUCAACAAAGGAAGAGGUGGUAAACCCACCAAAAUGAGAAAAGAUGCUGUAGGGUCAUUUUUACCAUCAAUUAAC